CCCCUUUAUUUAUUGUUAUUAUUCACUGUCGGCCCACUUAUCUAAUUUAAUUAUGUAGUCCAAUUUUAUUCUUGAAAAACCUUUGGCCCAAACAAAAACAACUAAAGUAGCCCAACCAAAGUGUUUCACCAAAAAUUUCUCCACUCUCCCUUCCCGGUCAACUUCUCUCUCUCUCUAUCCCCUUCAUUCCAUUUUCCCCAAAUUCAUCAAAUUCCUUCCUACAUCAGAGGCGGCGCCUCCACUCCUUUCCUUUCUCCGGCGAGUUCGUCGCCAAUCGCCCAUCCCUCCACCGUCAUCUCCUCCGGCCAUCGUCGCUGUUCUUGCUGCUCGCCGACGCAGGGCCUCUUCGAGCGCUCGUGGAGCAGCAGCAGCGCCGUCGGCCACUUCUCCUGAUGUCCGCUGUGUCACUCCCGUUGGCGCUUGAGACGGCCGAAGCCGCCGCCGCUGCUGUGUCUCUGUCGUUGUUCAACCGUGGACAGGACAGAGGUUCUCCGGCGCGCGGUGGUGGGGGAGGAUUUGGCCGCUUCUUUGAAUGACACGUGGAGUUGGGGAGUUAUAUUGGGCUGCCAUAUGCAUGAAAGAGAAAGAUGAGAGUUGGGCCUUCCAUGAUGACUCCAAAAAUUUAAGAAGUGGGCUGAGAUUUAAUUUAUAGGUCCACACAUGUACACUUUUAAUUUAUUGAAUUACAUUUCAUAGUAUUAGAGAUGUAUAACGAUAGUUAGACUUGUAAAAUCAAAAAGUUUGGUUCCGUUAGUGUGA